AACGAACGUUAGCGGCGCGCCUAACACAUGCAAGUCGAGCGAGAAAGGGCUUCGGCCCCGGUAAAGCGGCGCACGGGUGAGUAACACGUGGAUAACCUACCCCUUGGUGGUGGAUAACCUUCCGAAAGGAGGGCUAAUACAGCGUAAGACCACGACUUCGAAAGAGGUUGAGGUAAAAGUGGGCCUCUGUACACAAGCUCACGCCAGGGGAUGGGUCCGCGGCCCAUCAGCUAGUUGGUAGGGUAACGGCCUACCAAGGCGAAGACGGGUAGCUGGUCUGAGAGGAUGAUCAGCCACACUGGAACUGAGACACGGUCCAGACUCCUACGGGAGGCAGCAGUGGGAAUCUUGCGCAAUGGACGAAAGUCUGAAGGAGCGACGCCGCGUGGGGGAUGAAUGGCUUCGGCCCGUAAACCCCUGUCAUUUGCGAACAAACCUUACCGGUUAACAACCGGUGAGCUGAUUGUAGCGAAAGAGGAAGGGACGGCUAACUCUGUGCCAGCAGCCGCGGUAAU
rnacentral:rRNA from 1 species